GACGAACGCUGGCGGUGUGCUUAACACAUGCAAGUCGAACGGUAAGGCCCUUUCGGGGGUACACGAGUGGCGAACGGGUGAGUAACACGUGAGUAACCUGCCCUCAUCUCUGGGAUAACAGUCGGAAACGGUUGCUAAUACUGGAUAUGAGCUUGCAAGGCAUCUUGUGGGUUGGAAAGAUUUUUUGGUCGGGGAUGGACUCGCGGCCUAUCAGCUUGUUGGUGAGGUAGUGGCUCACCAAGGCUUCGACGGGUAGCCGGCCUGAGAGGGCGACCGGCCACAUUGGGACUGAGAUACGGCCCAGACUCCUACGGGAGGCAGCAGUGGGGAAUAUUGCACAAUGGACGGAAGUCUGAUGCAGCAACGCCGCGUGCGGGAUGACGGCCUUCGGGUUGUAAACCGCUUUCAAUUGUGACGAAGCUUUUGGGACGGUA
rnacentral:rRNA from 2 species